rnacentral:rRNA from 1 species
AAGUUUUGUUUAUUAUUAUUUAUAUGAAGAUUAAUAUUUAAAUUAAAAUUGUAAGAUUUUUAGUACGAUUUGGAAUAUAAAGUAAUAAUUAUAGUGUAUUAGUACUGAAGAGGAAAAAAAUAAGAUAUUUUGAAGAAUAUAUACAUAUAGUAUCUUGUGUAUCAGAGUUUAUUAAAAUAUAAUUUUAUAUUUAAAUGUUCUCGAAUUUUUGGAGAUUUAUUAAUUUAAUUUAGUUAUUGUUGAAUGAUUAUUAAAAAUAUAUUAAUGGGAAUGAAAUGUUUGUCGUUCAAAAAGGUAUCUAGUUUUUUAAGAAAAAAAUUAAAUUUUUGUUUAUAAUUUUUUUUAAUUAUUAAUGGAUUAUAAGAUUAGGAUUUUAGGGAUAAGCUUAGAAUUUAUUAUUAAAUUUUAUAUAUGAAAUAGGGAAAGAAUAUAUUUUAUAGUGAUAAAUUUUUGUAAUGUUUAAUAACUGAUUAUUGUUUAUGAAGAUUUAUGUAAGAUUAAUUUAAAAAUUAAAAUAAUUAGUGAAAUGGGACAAUUAAUGGAAUAAUGAUAAAAUUAGUAAAUAUAAGAUUAAAUUAAGUAUUAAUUGUGAAAAUUUAAUUGAAGGAAUUAGGCAAAUAUGAUGUUUUCGCUUGUUUAUCAAAAACAUGUCUUUAUGGAAUAAGGAAUAUAAGGUUGAACCUGCCCAAUGAAAUAGUUAAAUGGCUGCGGUAUUUUGACCGUGCAAAGGUAGCAUAAUCAUUAGUUUUUUAAUUGGAAACUGGAAUGAAUGGUUUGACGAAAAAUAGUCUGUCUAUUAUUGAAAUAUUGAAGUUUAUUUUUUAGUUAAAAAGCUAAAGUGAAUAUAAGGGACGAGAAGACCCUAUAGAGUUUAUACAUUUAAUGAUUUUAUAAAUUUAGAAGUUAAAGUAUAUUUUGUGUAUAAUUAUUUAAUGUAUUUAAUUGGGGUGAUGAGAGAAAAUAAUUAACUUCUAUUGUAUCAUUACUAGGAUGCUAGGAUAAUUUUUAUGAUCUUGUAUUACGGAUAGAAAGAAAAAAUUACCUUAGGGAUAACAGCGUAAUUUUAUUUGAGAGUUCUAAUCGAUGAUAAAGUUUGCGACCUCGAUGUUGGAUUAAGAUUAUUAUUGGAUGAAGGAGUUCAAUAAAUAGGUCUGUUCGACCUUUAAAUUCUUACAUGAUCUGAGUUCAGACCGGUGAGAGCCAGGUCGGUUUCUAUCUUUAAUAAGCUAUUAUAAUUUAGUACGAAAGGACCAGUUAUAUAAUAAAUUAUUAAUUAAGGAAUAUAAUUAAGU